GGCAGCGUGGCCGAGCGGUCUAAGGCGGUGGAUUCAAGAGAACCUUGAGUAAACUCUUAUUCUCAGAAUAACGAGAAUAUCCCACUCACGGAAGUGGCAGGGGUUCGAAUCCCCUCGCUGUCA